GGAUCGUUAAGACCGUUGCGCAUGCUGUCCGUCACAAUGCUAACAAAAGAGGGGGAGAUGAAGGAGACCUGGCAUGAAAUGUGGUUGUGCUUGCACGCGAGGCAUCCACAAGACUGGCUGGACUUUUCUGCAAACAGAAUGUUCUGCCUGGUGAACUCACAAGGCCCCAGGGAAAACAUUGCUUGCAAACAAGGAUGUUUUAUCAGUUCCUCAAAAGGAACAAGCCUGGGGCCUUGGGAGUUUGAAACAUUAUGAAGGAACCUGUUAUAAACAGAUGUGUAAGGGAAAGGUCAUUAUUGUGGGAUGCUUGCGCAGGCUUAGGUGGCUGACUCACUGCUUUGGCAAAAGGCGGGCUUUGUUUAGAGGCUAUAAGAAUAAAGAGCUCGAGGAACUCGAGGAGACUACACAGCAACCAGUGUUCGUGUUUUCAUUUUGUUGGCGGCAUCUGGCAUCCAACGUGGGGCCCAACGAAACUGAAAGGUCUUCCGGCGCUGGAGAAAACAACAACAACUAAAAAGGAUCGUUAAGACCGUUGCGCAUGCUGUCCGUCACAAUGCUAACAAAAGAGGGGGAGAUGAAGGAGACCUGGCAUGAAAUGUGGUUGUGCUUGCACGCGAGGCAUCCACAAGACUGGCUGGACUUUUCUGCAAACAGAAUGUUCUGCCUGGUGAACUCACAAGGCCCCAGGGAAAACAUUGCUUGCAAACAAGGAUGUUUUAUCAGUUCCUCAAAAGGAACAAGCCUGGGGCCUUGGGAGUUUGAAACAUUAUGAAGGAACCUGUUAUAAACAGAUGUGUAAGGGAAAGGUCAUUAUUGUGGGAUGCUUGCGCAGGCUUAGGUGGCUGACUCACUGCUUUGGCAAAAGGCUGGCUUUGUUUAGAGGCUAUAAGAAUAAAGAGCUCGAGGAACUCGAGGAGACUACACAGCAACCAGUGUUCGUGUUUUCAUUUUGUCGGCAGCACUUAUGUUUAACUUUUUAAUGUUUUGAGCUAAUUUUUUUUGGGG
rnacentral:lncRNA from 1 species